AUGACGCUACUACCGUUCCUGCGCCGUUGCUCCGGGGAAUUGGUGCUCUACUCGCAACAUCCGAGAGUGCGGCUCCUUCUGCAUCUAUCUCAGAAAAUGGCUAGCGACACCAAUGAUUUGGAAGACAGCGAAGUGAUGUACCGUGACGAUGAUUUAGAUGAAACUUUUGCUUCACAAAGUCAGUUUGAAGGACAGACACACUCACUUAACGUUGGUGGUGGUGACCCGCAGUGUUAUGUCGAGAAUUUUCUAAACAAUCUGCGGAACUUGUUCUACUCAUCAAAUGAGAAUGCCAUUUCUUCUAAGAAUCAGUGUCAUGCCCCACUUCCUCCGAAGAAGGCAACGAGCAGGUGCAAUCAUGCGUAUUUUAGUGAUCUGCUGAAGAAAAUUCCACCAUCAAGAUUAGAUGUCAUUAAAAAUUAUGGUUGCUCUUUUAUUCUUGAUUUUGACUGCAAUUCUGUACCAAGAGGGUUUGCACAAUGGAUAGAAGGGAAAGUAAAUCCACCUACUGGUGACAUAGUUCUCGAUAACAAAGUCAUUCCAAUGAGCCCAGAAUCCUUUCAUCUUCUGCUUGGUCUUCCUUUAGGUGGCACAUCAGUUUUAUUUGACAAUGAGGUGACCAAAGCAACAUUCCUUAAUAUUAUUGGUGAACCUACACUUCCAUCUAUCAAGUGGUUUGGUUUGAGAAUGCUGAAGCCUGAUAUAUCUGAUAUUGAUUUCUUGAGGUGUUUCCUUCUAGUUGCAUUUGCAGCUGUUUUGUGCCCCAACUCAAAUAUCUAUCCCAGCACAAAAUAUCUAGGGAUUCUAAUUGAUCCAACUCGAGUUACCAACUAUGACUUGUCAAAAUUUGUUUUCGAUUGGCUUAUGUCAUACAUAAGGAAAUAUCAGAAAGAGCCAAAGAAAUCUACAAAAGAGGAUGGACUAACAACACUUGGUGGCUGCAUUUACGGGCUUCGUUGCUAUUACUUAGAUUUUCUGGAUUUUGGGUUACAACGAGUACCUCCUGGAAUCCCAAGAUUAAUGGCAUGGAAAAAUUCGUUAGUCAAAGAGUUUGGAAAUUUGGAUUGCAAAGGUCCAAGGGAAUAUGGCCUACGUCCUGUGAAGUUGAUAUCUCAAACUGUCUAUUCCAUGGGUUGCGUUGGUUGUUGCCAUUUACAUGAAGAUUCUUCUCAUGAAUCUGUUAAGUUUAGAUUUGCACUUGAUAAAACUGUUGGCGGUUUACUUCCUUCCUUGGUGAAAGACCAAUUAUCUUUGAUAGCUAGGCGUUUUCGUGAUACUGCUGAUGAAAAGUCUAUUGAAGGAGCUCAGAAUAUGCUGCUAGAUUCUCUGAAUUGCAUUGUUCUAGCUACCGGUUCAGAUGAUGAACCAAAUCAAUCUGACACGAAUUCAAGAAGAAAUACAAACAAUAGUAUGGCAAGUAGUGAUAAAUCAGUCCUUAGGAGUCAUGGUGAUCAUUCUUCCAAUAUGAAUGUUUCUCCAGCUAUUGAACAUUCUCCAAAUGUUACCAAUGCAAAUGUGGAUUUGCAUGAUACUGCAGGUACACAUUCAGGGAGUAGAAGGAAAAGUCCAUCUGCAGAGGAAGGAAGAAAGCUUGAUUUUAGUCAAGUUGAGAAGCAACUCGAGUCUGUUUCUGAACUAAUGAAGAAACUAAUUCCACCAAAGUCUACCACAAUCACUGAAUCAAGUGACAAGGAAAAAAGCAUGAGUUUCAAGCAUUUCAUGAGUACAGAUCCUUUAGUUCAAACUAAUCCAAAAGUGGCUUAUACGCAGACCACACUGAACAAGGUCAUGAGUGUUAAGAAGAAAUUAUUUUUCCCUGAGAAUCUAAGGUUGAAAUCUACAAUGAAUGGUGAAUCGUCUCAAAAAUCAUUGAACAAUCAAAUCAUGGCAUCAAGUCAAGGUCAUUUUCAACUGCGUGAUGAGAAGUCUGAGGGCACUCCAAGGCCAUGGGCAAAUGCAAACUCUCCAAAUCGCACUGAUUUUCUAGGUGAAACUUCCCAGCCUGGUGGUCCUGUCACUAAGAUUGAUUUAGAUUCUCGUGGACUAUCUAGCCCUGGGAAGUCCCCUGAUGUUGUGAUAUUAUAUGAAGUCAAGAAAAACGACACAUUGAACAACUUCACACCUACUUCUGAUGUGAUUUAUAAUGAAAAAAUCAACAGUCAUUCUGCUAGUCAUUCUGGAAGAGAACUCGGUAGGUAUGGACCAAAGAGGAUUCUUAACCCUAGCAAAUACAAUGCUUCUCCUUAUGUGAACCAGAAAUCAUCCAGAUACCCUGUUACAUCAAGAAUGAUUCAAUUACAUGAUGCUAUUGUCACUUUGUCUCUUGAUGAAGAUUACAAAUACAAAACAUGCAUAGACUAUGGCAAAGUUACAGUGACAUACUUUUCCUUUGGUACUUCUUUUGCAACCAAUAGCCUUGUUGACACGUAUACUAUAAAUGCUUGGUGUCGCAAAUUAUCUCUAGAUAAUAGGCCAAAGGACUCUAAAGUUCACCAUUUUUUCACCUUAUCUCUGAACAUCAAUUACUGA
rnacentral:rRNA from 1 species